rnacentral:rRNA from 1 species
AUGCUGACCAGAAAAGCUUUCUAACGCGUGUUUAUCAUCGUCCGUACCGCAAACCGACACAGGUGCUCAGGUCGAGAAGACCAAGGUGUACGAGUGAUUCUUCGUUAAGGAACUCGGCAAUACAGCGACCGUAACUUCGGGAUAAGGUCUGCCCCAGCAAUGGGGCCGCAGCUAAAGAUUCCACGCAACUGUUUACCAAAAACAUAGGUCUCUGCUAACACGAAAGUGGAUGUAUAGGGGCUGACUCCUGCCCAGUGCUGGAAGGUUAAGGGGAGAGCUUCACGGCUUGAACUGAAGCCCCAGUGAACGGCGGCGGUAACUAUAACCGUCCUAAGGUAGCGAAAUUCCUUGUCAGGUAAGUUCUGACCCGCACGAAUGGAGUAAUGAUGUGGAAACUGUCUCAACGAAGAGCUCGGUGAAAGUGCAUUGACGGUAAAGAUGCCGUCUGUCCGCAGCAGGACGAAAAGACCCUAUGGAGCUUUACUACAGCUUGACAUUGGAUCGGAUUGUAACAUGUGUAGCAUAGGUGGGAGACUAUGAAGCCAUCGCGCUAGCGAUGGUGGAGUCAAAAUAUGAAAUACCACCCUUGUUCCAAUCUUAUUCUUACCCCGACCGUUAUCCGGUCAGGGGACCGUGUCUGGUGGGUAGUUUAACUGGGGCGGUUGCCUCCUAAAGAGUAUCGGAGGCGUUCAAAGGUUAGCUAGGUACGGAUGGAAAUCGUGCCGAUAGUGCAUACGCAUAAGCUAGCUUGACUGUGAGGCCGACAAGCCAAUCAGGGACGAAAGUCGGAGUAAGUGACCCGCUGUAUUAGCAUUUAUGCUUAUGAAAGUGGGAUCGACAGCGCAAACGGAUAAAAGUUACCCUAGGGAUAACAGGCUUAUCGGGCCCAAUAGUUCACAUAGACGGCCCGGUUUGGCACCUCGAUGUCGGCUCAUCACAUCCUGGGGCUGGAGAAGGUCCCAAGGGUCCGGCUGUUCGCCGGUUAAAGUGGUACAUGAGCUGGGUUCAGAACGUCGUGAGACAGUUCGGU